CACAUACGUCAGAGUGGCAAUCUGCUUACAGUCGAAUCGGAGCCGAACGCGGCCGAAAGUCGCCGACGAGCUGCAUAGUAUCGCAUUGUCUGUUAUGGUACGAAUGGGCGUCCGUGACAACAACUUGAUUGCUUUUGAAUCACAUGUACUUAUCUUCUCAAACUGCUUUCGAGCAUCUUAACGACUGGUUGCAUUUUGAAGUGUCUUGCCAUCUAAAGAAUGGAGAACAAAGAAAUAAACAUAGUUAAGAUUAAAAUUAAACUUACAAUUAAAGUAAAAAUAACAACGAAGGAAGGUGUCAUUAAGAAGACAGAUGACACAGACAAGCCCCGAUCGACACGGAGGGUGCCUGACAUGCCGAAGACUGGAAGAGAAGAAAAUCACCAGGGCCAGAGGGUUCGUCCGUGGAGCGGGAGGGACAGGCUACCCACGCUGGAGGAAGAAGGAGCGACGAGGAGGAGGCCCCAACUGAAGUUCCUCCGUCGUCCGGACAGCAACGGCUCCUGCGAUGUACAACCAGAGAGAGGCCAGGGGCAGCGUCAGCGAUCGGCGGAACAGCAACUCCUGACAAGGAUCCAUGGACUUAUGGGAUAUGGCCGGAGAAGGAGGACUGACUACAGAGACAUUGUUCCUGAUGGACUUGUGGGUUAUGGGCGGGGACAGAGGGAUAAUAGCGAUGUUGUUGAUGGACUUGUGGGUUAUGGGCGGGGACGGAGGGAUAAUAGAGAUACUGUUUAAGUGUUAAUGUACAAAAGAGAUAGGAUAAGAUAAGAUAAGAUAGGAUAAGUUAAAAUAGGAUAAGAUAAGCUAAGUUAAAACAUAAUAAGAUAGGUUAAGUUAACAUAUGAUAAGAUAUGCUGUUAAAAUAUCAUAAGAUAGGCUAAGUUAAAAUAGGAUAAGAGCUUUACAAUAAAACAUAUACUUACUUUUCAAA